GUGGUCGUUCAGUUAAAGGUGGUCGUUCAGUUAAAGGUGGUCGUUCAGUUAAAGGUGGUCGUUCAGUUAAAGGUGGUCGUUCAGUUAAAGGUGGUCAUUCAGCUGUCAUUCAGUUAAAGGUGGUCGUUCAGGCUGUCGUUCAGUUAAAGGUGGUCGUUCAGCUGUCAUUCAGUUAAAGGUGGUCAUUCAGUUAAAGGUGGUCAUUCAGCUGUCGUUCAGUUAAAGGUGGUCAUUCAGUUAAAGGUGGUCGUUCAGCUGUCAAUUAUUCACACAAAAUGCAACAAAUACCAGAGGUGUAAUAUAUAUAUAUAUAUAUGUUUAACGCCACUGGGGUUGUCCCCAAACCCUAUGUGAAGAGAAGGUCGUCCC
ensembl:lncRNA